UUGUAUGCCUGUAGAAACCUUUCUUAAUGAGAAAAGAAACGAAAAUUGGUUACAUAAUAAUUAUAUUAAUUAAUAAAAUUGCAGGUUGUUGACUGCAUAUGAUUUCUUUCCAUCAGUCAAUGAGAAAGGUGUUCCCAUAAUUGAUCUUCAUUACUCACAAUGCUUUUAAUAGUGCCAAAAGAGGAAAUAAAAUUUUAAUGUUGGGAAUACAGGAUUAGACUAUACUUGGUGGUGUCUCCAACAGAUCAGCAUUAGGCUUUAAUUGGCAAAGAAUUUUGCAAGGCCUUAGUUAGAAAGUUUUUAAUUGUGGUACAUGCAUUACUGGUAGAAAUUCUUUCUCAAUUAGGUAUGGCUUCAUUACUGAUGUCAAAUUAUCCAAAGAGAUAAAUCUGCCCCUACUUUGGGUUAUCCUUUGUACCUCAUCCUACCAUAGUUGUAAAAGUGGCUGGAGGCCUAGGUGAUGGCCCUAUUGUUUUCCAAUGAUUCUACUUAGGAGCACAACUUUUGGUCAUAUGGAUGACCAAGUUGACUUGCCAAAACUUAGAAAUUAUGAUGGUCUAUAAGACAUGGAAUGUAAGAAAAUAACGUGGAAAUUAACUUAGUUUAACAAUUGUAGCAUUAUUAGGAGCCAUUAAAUAUUGUUUCAUUUUCUUACUUUUAGUGAUUCUGCUGGUUUUGAGGAUGGAUUUAAUCUUAGUGGGUCACUACAUUGAUUACAACAUGUUUAAAGGCUUUUGUGGGUUUUAAAAGCCUAUAGAUUAUGUUUAUAUGCAGAAUGGAGUGUCAUUUCCAGAGAAUAAAAGAUUAAAAAAUAAAAUAAAAUUGGAAAAGACCCUCUCUCUCUCUCUCUCUCUUUCUCUGAUGAGGAAAAUAGAACAUUAUUCUAAAGAAUGGAAGAAGUUUAUUUGGACUUGGAAUACCAUUUGGUGGUGAAUGGAACAAUUUGAAGGUAAUUUUAAGGUUGUAGAAGGCAUAUGUAAAGUAGCAAUAUGCUCUCUGAAACAACACAUUCACUGCUAACUGUGGAAAAGUUGAGAAGAAAAUCUUAUUAUUCUAAACAGCAUCUGGUUAUAUACAAAAUGGAUAAGCCCUAGGAGUGUUAUCUAAAACUAAGACUAUCAUAAACCAAAUCCCUGUAAAUCAGUAAACUAAAUCCCUAUAAAUCAGGGAUCAAAUUCCAAAAAAUUAGGAAUUACAUUAUCUCCCAUAUUUAAACCUAUUUACAUAAAAUACAAAGUCAAAACCCCAUAAGAAAUGUGUUUCUCCACACUCCCCCUCGAGCUGGUGAGUGAAUAUCAUGCAUUGCCUUCUUGUCAAUUAUUGCUUGAAACACAGUAUUGUUUAGACCCGUGGUAAACACAUUUGCUAGUUGAUUGGUUGAGGGUCUCGUACGGUGUGCAGAUGAGACCACUCCAAUUUUUCUUUGAUAAAGUGUUUGUCUACCUCCUCAUUUUUGAUCUGGUCAUGUUGCAUGGGAUUAUGUGCAAUAUUGAUUGUUGAUUUGUUGUUGCAGUAGAGUUUUAGAGGUGCUUCACAGUUAAUCUUCAGAUCUUCUAAAAUUAUUUUCAGCCAUUGUAAUUCACAAAUCCCAAGUGCCAUUGCUCUAAGUUUUGCCUUGACGCUUGACCUUGCUACUACAUUCUGCUUUUUACUCCUCCAUGUUACUAGGUUUCCACCAAGGAAUGUACAAUAACCCAAUAUUGAGCAUCUAUCAACCAUAAAUCUUGUAUAAUUAACAUCCGUAUAGGCUUCAAGUGUCAAACUUGUUCCUUUCUUGAAUAGAAUCUCUUUUUCUGGCAUUCCUUUGAGAUAGUGUAGUAUUCAGUGAACUGUUUGGAGAUGUUCUUCCUUAGGAUUGUGCCUAAAUUGACUCACCACACUAACAACAUUUGAAAUAGUAGGUUUUGUGUGUAACAAGUAGAUCAAUUGACCCACUAAUCUUUGAUAGUUUCCUGAUCCACACUAGCAUCGUUAUUAUUAUCACCAAGCUUGUGAUUAGUCUCAAUAGGCAUGUUUGCUGGUUUACAAGCUAACUUCCUAAUUUCCUUCAACAAAUCUAGUAUGUACUACUGUUGGGAUACAAAAAUUCCCUGUUGUGACCGUGCCACCUUAAUACCCAAGAAGUACUUCAAUAGGCCUAGUUCUUUAAUUUCAAACUCUUUCAUCAACCACUUCCUCAAAUUGUUUCUUUCCUUCUCAUAGUUUCCAGUCAUAAUUAUAUUGUCCACAUAAACUAACAAGGCCGUAAUUCCCCUUGAAGCUGAAUGUUUGAUAAAUAAAGUGUGAUCACCUUGACUUUGCGCAUCCAUUGGUAAUCAUCACCUUCGCAAAUCUCCCAAACCAAGUUUGAGGAGAUUGUUUCAAACCAUGCAAAACCUUGUUAAGCUUACACAUUCAUCUACCUUCUAGAUUCUUGCCAAAUCCAGAAGGAACUUCCAUAUAGAUUUUUUCUUCAAGAUCCUCUUGUAAGAAAGCAUUCUUGACAUGAAAUUGUUGCAAAUUCCACUCAAAGUUGGCAGCCAAGGAUAACAACAUCCGAACUGUAUUCAUCUUAGCUACGGGUGUGAAGGCCUUUAAAUAAUCUACUCCAUAAGUUUGGGUAUAUCCCUUGGCAGCAAGCCUUGCUUUAUACCUCUCAAUUGAUCCAUCCGACUUGUAUUUUACAGUAAAAACCCACUUACAACCUGCCGGAUUCUUUCCUUUUGGCAACUCUACUACUCCCAUGUUUUAUUUUUUUCUAGUGCUUCCAUCUCAACACUCAUGGCUUGUCUCCACUUUUUAUUAUUUAAUGGCUUAGGUAGGGUUUUAGGAAUAGUAACAGUGUUUAGUUGGGUAAGGAAGGCUCGAUAGGAAUGUGACAGUCUAUCAUAGGAUACAAACUGAGCUAAUGGGUAUAAAUGGUGUUUAGUACAAUCUUGUGUACCUUUCGUGCGAGCAAUGGGUAGAUCAAGAUCAUUAUUAUCAAUGGUAGCACAAGAAUUAUCAAAAGAAGAUUUUGGUAAAGCAUUGACCUCAUUUUCAGAGAUUGGUUUCAACUUUUGUAUUUGCAUAGGUUCAACAACAAAUUCUUUUCUCCUUGAGUAUACCUGUAGUGGUCCAAUAGGAUUGUGAGUUGCACUUUCCUUAGUCAAUAACAUGGGAUUAGAAGAGGAUGCUUCGAUAGUGGGCAAAACAAGAGGGUGAUUGGGACUGACUAUGGGCUUGGAUGAGGGAGAUUGUGAAAUGGAGGGCAAGUCAAGUAAGAAUGAAUCGUUGUCCUUAUCUUCCAUGAAUGAUGUCUCCUCCUGAAGAUAAGGACGGGUAGAAUAAUCCUCUCUUUCAACAAAGGUCACAUUGACAGAAACAAAAAGUUUCCUAGAAGGGGGAUGGUAACAUUUAUAACCCUUUUGUGUUGAAGAAUAUCCUAUAAAAAUGCAUUUAAGAGCACGUGGAUCUAACUUUCCCCUGUUAUGAUCAUGAAUGUGGACAAAUGAGACACAACCAAAGAUUCUAGGAGUGAGAUUAUUUUGAGGUAUUGACGUCGGGAAAAAACUAAGAAAACACUUGCAUAAGACUCUUGAACCCCAAAACUUGAGAAGGUAACCUAUUGAUCAAGUGGGCGGCUGUAAGCACUACCUCCCCCCAAUAGUGUUUAGGAACAUUUUUUUGAAAUUAGAAGGCACGAGUAACAACAAGAAGAUGGCUAUUUUUUCUUUUGGCAACCUUGUUUUGUUGGGGGUGUACUAAUGCAAGAUGACUCAUGAAUAAUCCCUUCUUUCGCAAAACAAGGGGACAAAACCUGAUUAAAGUAGUCUUGGGCAUUAUUAGACCUAAACUUCUUUAUGCUUACACCAAAUUGAGUUUUGAUCAUGUUAUGAAGGUUUGGAAAGGCUCUACUCACAUAAGAUUUCUGUUUAAGAAGAAAGAUCCAAGACACAUGAGUACAAUAAUCAAUAAACACAACAAACAAGCUAGCCCCUGAAAUAUUAGGAACCUUAGAUGGCCCCCAAACAUUACCAUGAAUAAGAGAAAAAGGAAUAGAGGUUCUUUUAUUGCUAAUUGGAAAAGAAGCACAAUGAUGCUUUGCAAGUUCACAUACUUUACAAUGAAAGCUCUCUACAUCCAAUUCUUUAGCAAUGAAGGAAAUAAAACUCUGAGUAUAUUAAAGGAAGGGUGUCCUAAAUGGAGAUGAUAAAGCCAAAUUUUGUCCUUAUUUGAGAUGGAGCUUUUAGUCAAGAAUGGCAAAGGAAAUUUGUUCUCAAUCCUAUUUUGAUCACUUGGUACAUCAAGAUAAUAAAGCCCCUUUUUUCCUUAGCAAAUCCAAUCGUCUUCCCUGAACUUUGGUCCUGAAAAACACAAUGAGAAGGGUAAAAGACUAUACGAUAAUUCAUAUAUUUGUUAAUCCGAUGUAUGGACACAAGAUUAGUUGAAAGUUUGGAACAUGAAAGACAUUCUCUAAUGUAAGAGACGAAUUUAUAUGAAUUUUUCCUUGAUCAGCUACUGUUGUCAAAAAGCCAUCUGCUAUGGAAAUUUUCUUGUUACUUGGGCAAGGUGUGUAGGAGCUGAAUUUCAAAGCAGAGUGGUCAUAUGGUCCAUGGCAUCUGAAUCAAUGACCCAGGAAUUUGAAAGAGGAGAGUUUGAGACAUUGAAUGCAUGAGAAACAAACCUCUUACCUGAAAGUGCUAAGGAGCAAGCACCAGAGGGUUUUUCUGAUGAUUCUAACAAUCUUUUCAGCCUCUCAAUAUCCUCCUUGAACUCUCCAUCUAUUGGGGUCUCAUUCUCAUCGUUUGGUGGAUUGCUAUUGGUGAAAUUUGCCUGUCCUUGAACUUUUUGCUGCUGUCCGCUGUUAGGUCUCCAUCCCCUAUUAUUAUUGUUGAAGUUUAGUGUUCUUCCAUGCAACUUCCAGCACAUAUCCUUGGUGUGCCCAGGUUUCUUGUAGUAAUUGCACCACCUGAAUGAAUCUGGUCGUUUGUUUGCAGCAUUCAGCUGAUUUUCUGCAACAACAUUCUUCAUAUUUCCGGCAUUUGACAACAUAGCUGAGCUUUCUACCAUAGGUGUUUCAUUCAUCAUUACACCUCUUCUUCCUUCCUCUGCCCAAAUUAUGGAAAUAGUUUCAUUUAUGAACUUGAACUUGAUCAAACUCCAGAUUUAGACCAGCAAGGAAUUCGAAAAUUCGUUCUUUCUCAACAAAGCUUUUCAAUAUGGCAGCAUCCUCACUAUCCUUCAUUUGAAUGCAUUGAUAAUGAUCCAUCUCUUACCACAAAUUUUUUAGGAGAUUGUCAUAUUCAGUCACAAAUUGCUCACCUUGUUUGGUGGCUGAAAUCUCUGUCGUUAUCUCAAUUAUCUCUGCUACAUCACAUAUCUUUGAGUAAGUCUGUCUCAGGUAGCAUCAAAUUCCUUUAGCCGUGGACAAAAACAUGAAAGUGCUACUAAUCUCAGGUAGCAUCAAAUUCCAAAGCCAUGACAUAAUCAUGGAGUCUUCCUCAUCCCAAAUCUGAAAGUUGGAAUCACUUUGCUCUGGUCCCGUACCCAACAAGUGAUUCAUUUUUCUUUUCCCCUUCAAGAACGUCUUCACAAUUUGUGACCACUGCAAAUAAUUCUUCCAAUUCAAUCAAUAUGUGGUGUGAAUGCUUUGAAGCUCCCCAUUGGACUGAUUUGGCAGCCCUUCAAUUGGUUGUACUGCAGGAAUGUUGGUGGCUUCAAAUGUCUUGGACAUGGUGGAUUUUUUCUUUUUCUUUUGAAUUGAAGGAGCAAAGAACUAGAAACUUUGAUUGAAUAAGGGGCAAAGAACCAGAAACUCGGAUAAAGAAGACUGCUAGGUCUUAAGAAGAAAACCAGGUUAACAAAGGACAAAGGAAUGUGAAUUCUGGGAGCCUAAGGCUUUGAUAUCAUAUGGAAAAGUUGAGAAGAAAAUCUUAUUAUUCUAAACACAAAACUCAUCUGGUUAUAUAAAAAAAAGAUAAGCCCUAGGAGUGUUAUAUAAAACUAAAACUACCCUAAACCAAAUCCCUAUAAAUCAGUAAACUAAUCCCUAUGAAUCAGGGAUUAAAUCACAAAAAAUCAGGAAUUACAUUGUUCCCAGAUUUAAACCUAUUUACAUAAAAUACAAAGUCAAAACCCCGUAAGAAACGUGUUUCUUUGUCUUCAUGGUCUUCAAGAGCUUGAGGCAAGGUGAUUCAAGAUUCUAUUGGUUCAUAGCGGUUCUAGGAGAGGAAAAUGUCAAUUUUGACUCUGCUGGCCAACCUCUUGAUCUAAUUUUUUCUGCAUGUUAGUGGUAAGUAUUUGAACCAUUGGGGUUAGUACUGGAGAGAAUGGCAUUUGAUGAUAUAGUGAGUGCAAUGGUGGAAGACUGGUUGGAGAACUAACUACAACAAACUUCUAAAGUAGGCAGCAUAAUGUGUUUAUAUUCAUUUGAGUUUCAAGUUUGAACAGUGAACUGGAUUGCAUUUCUGAUCUGGUCAUAUCUCAGUCUUGCUGCAAUAAGUGAUGGCUUUAGUUAAGAAAAGUUGUCCUGACCUAAGUAUAUGACCUUUGUCCUUUUUUUUUUUUAUCUCUUUUUCUGAUGAGCAAUGGUAUGAUUUUAUGUACAAGCACCAAAGAAACAACAAAAGAAGGUGCCAAGGAACCACCAAAACGGGAGAGCAAAAAACAAGUCUCUCCCUUAAUGAGGACCUAACCAAUCAAUGAAAUCAAUUAAAGACAUUGUGUCUUCACCUAUGGAUAACUUUAUAAACCAAUAAAAAUAAAACCUAUGUAUAACUUUAUAAAGAGAUUACUAAGGAAAGAACUCUUUAGAAAAUAGACAAACUACUCCUUAUUCUAUAAUGACCUAUGAUUUUGUUGGAAUCCAAUUAUUGUUUCAUGGAGUUUAUUUGAUUUAUUCAUGAUUUUGUGCAUAUUUAAAUUAGUUGACUAAAAAAGUAAGGAAGUUGUUUGAUCAAAGGCUAAAAAAUUUAUUCCGUAACAAUUUCUAUGUGUGGGUCAAAGUGUAUAUAGGAGGAGGGUAUACACAUUUGAUUGAUUUCAUAGAUUGGCUGGGUUGCGGUUGAGGGAGGGAGUAUUUUUUGUUCCCUAUUUUUUAUUUUUGCUUGGUGCUCCUUGUAUAUGAACUAUGUACUCUUGUGUGUUUUUUGGUGUUUUUAUUAACACAAUCUCUUACUUAUCCAAAAA
rnacentral:lncRNA from 1 species